rnacentral:rRNA from 1 species
AGAGUUUGAUCCUGGCUCAGAACGAACGCUGGCGGCAGGCCUAACACAUGCAAGUCGAGCGCUGUAGCAAUACAGAGCGGCGCACGGGUGAGUAACACGUGGGAACGUACCCUUCAGUUCGGAACAACCCAGGGNAAACUUGGGCUAAUACCGGAUACGUCCGUAAGGAGAAAGAUUUAUCGCUGAAGGAUCGGCCCGCGUCUGAUUAGCUAGUUGGUGAGGUAAUGGCUCACCAAGGCGACGAUCAGUAGCUGGUCUGAGAGGAUGAUCAGCCUCACUGGGACUGAGACACGGCCCAGACUCCUACGGGAGGCAGCAGUGGGGAAUAUUGGACAAUGGGCGCAAGCCUGAUCCAGCCAUGCCGCGUGGAUGAUGAAGGCCCUAGGGUUGUAAAGUCCUUUCGGCGGGGAAGAUAAUGACGGUACCCGCAGAAGAAGCCCCGGCUAACUUCGUGCCAGCAGCCGCGGUAAUACGAAGGGGGCUAGCGUUGCUCGGAAUCACUGGGCGUAAAGCGCACGUAGGCGGACUCUUAAGUCGGUGGUGAAAUCCUGGAGCUCAACUCCAGAACUGCCUCCGAUACUGCGAGUCUUCGAGUCCGGGAGAGGUGAGUGGAACUGCGAGUGUAGAGGUGAAAUUCGUAGAUAUUCGCAAGAACACCAGUGGCGAAGGCGGCUCACUGGCCCNGGUACUGACGCUGAGGUGCGAAAGCGUGGGGAGCAAAC